rnacentral:rRNA from 1 species
GAUGAACGCUAGCGGCAGGCCUAAUACAUGCAAGACGAACGGUAAGUUGAGUAGCAAUACUUAGCCAAGAGUGUCGUACGGGUGCGUAACACGUAUGCAACCUACCCUAUACAGGAGGAUAGCCUAGGGAAACCUGGAUUAACCCUUCAUAGUAUUAUUGGAUGGCAUCAUUUGAUAAUUAAAACUGAGGUGGUAUAGGAUGGGCAUGCGUCUGAUUAGUUAGUUGGCGGGGUAAUGGCCCACCAAGACGAUGAUCAGUAGGGGUUCUGAGAGGAAGAUCCCCCCACACUGGCACUGAGAUACGGGCCAGACUCCUACGGGAGCAGCAGUAGGGAAUAUUGGUCAAUGGAUGCAAGUCUGAACCAGCCAUGCCGCGUGCAGGAAGAAGGCCCUUCUGGGGUUGUAAACUGCUUUUGCCAGGGGAUAAAAUUCCAUGCGUGGAAAACUGAAGGUACCUGGUGAAUAAGCCACGGCUAACUACGUGCCAGCAGCCGCGGUAAU